GUUGGGCAAGGUGUUGGGAAAGGGACGAACAAAGUGAAUAGAAAAGAAACAAUGAAUAGGGUCUCCUAGGGCAUUCAUUUAAAAACUGGAUCUUGAUAUCUAGAUCGACUAAAUUCUCAGGUUAGUUGGCUUAAAGUAGAUUGACUGAGAUUUUGGAUUAAUUAGCUAAUGAUGGGUCAACUAAGAUUCUAGCUUAGCGAGCUCAAACUAGCAUAGAAAAAGUUUUAGAAUGAGGC
rnacentral:lncRNA from 1 species